UUUCCGUAGGUGAACCUGCGGAAGGAUCAUUAUUGGAUUUUGAAACUUCAGGCUGCUGCUGGCUCUCCUCGGAGGGCAUGUGCACGCUUGUUGUCCAUUAUUUCUCCCACUGUGCACAAAUUGUAGACCUUUCAGUAGGCCUAUGUUGUUUUUCACAAUCUCUGAAUGUAAUAGAAUGGUUUUGAAUCUUGGGAAAUGCAAUACAACUUUCAGCAACGGAUCUCUUGGCUCUC
rnacentral:misc_RNA from 1 species